rnacentral:lncRNA from 1 species
AUUAAUUUUUGCAAGAAAUAAUAGAAGAUGGUAUUAAGUCUUUCAACAAAAAAAGUGUAUCAAAUAUUUCUACAAGUUGCUCACUCAAAUGGUUGGGCCUAGUUUUUACUGAGAUGGAUGGGAUGCUAAACCAUAAAACAUCACCAUCUUUUUUAUAAAAAGCCAUAGUUUCUAUGAGUAGAGCUCUUGUAAUAGUAGGUGUUAAAACUUCUAUUAAAGUGGGCUUUUUUUUUAGAAGAACAAUUGGACUAUUUGUAUCCAAGUCAACUCCAUUUAAUUUUGAUGGCCUAAUAUUAUAUUAUGUGUAUUCUUACUUGAAAAUGCACCAGGCUUGUAGCUAUCAAAGUAAAAAUAUAAAAACAAUCCUACCAAGUCUAAUAGAAUCUUAAAUAAUCUUAAGUAGAUCUAAUAAUCUUAAUUAAACUUUGAUUAAUCUAAAAUAAAUUUAAAUGAAGUUAUAAAAGAAACUUAAAGAAGUUCCAAAGUAAUCCAAAAUAAAUAACAUGAAAUCUUAAAGAAAUAUAAAAAUAAACCUUUGAAAAAAUAACAAUAAUCUUAAAGACAUAUUAGAAAUAGAUUUUUUUUAAAAAAAUAAUAAAAAAUAAUAAAAAUAAAAAACCGAAUAUAGUCUCAAUUAAAAUCCUAAUAUAAUCCUAAUUAAAACCUUAAUCAAAUCCUAAUUAAAAUCCUAGUUGAACCUUAAUCAAAUCCUAAGUCAAAUCCUAAUUGAAUCUUAAUCAAAUCCUAAGUCAAAUCUUAAUUGAAUCUUAAUCAAAUCUUAUGUCGAACUUUAAUCAAUUCCUAAUCAAGUUCAAAAU